rnacentral:rRNA from 1 species
GUAGUCUCGCACAGAUGCAUAUCAAUAAGCGGAGGAAAAGAAACUAACAAGGAUUCCCCUAGUAACGGCGAGUGAAGCGGGAAGAGCUCAAAUUUGAAAUCUUAAAGGGUUUCCCUUUACGAAUUGUAGUUUAAAGAAGUGUUUUCUGUUGGAGUUUCGGUAAAAGUUCUUUGGAAUAGGACAUCAUAGAGGGUGAGAAUCCCGUAUUUGACCUUUACUUUCAACUUUGUGAUACACUUUCAAAGAGUCGGAUUGUUUGGGAAUGCAGUCCAAAAUGGGUGGUAAAUUUCAUCUAAAGCUAAAUAUUGGCGAGAGACCGAUAGCGAACAAGUACCGUGAGGGAAAGAUGAAAAGAACUUUGAAAAGAGAGUUAAACAGUACGUGAAAUUGUCAAAAGGGAAGCGUUUGACACCAGUGUUGUUUUUCUGAAAAUCAAUUAAAGAACUGUUUAUGCUAAGCUGUUUAGACUUUAUCAGCUAUCUGUUUAGUUUUGAGCUUUUCUUUAAUGCACUUUUCAGUUAACAAGUCAACAUCAAUUUCUUUUGCUGUAAAAAAGCUUGAGGAAGGUGGCUUGAGAUUCGUCUUAAGUGUUCAUAGCCUCUUGCCUAUGCAGUCGGAGAGAUUGAGGUCUGCAGCGUAGAUCCUUCGGGGCUAAAUGCAUUUGUGCUAAGUUAUAGCAUUUUAUAGACAACUUGUUGACUAUGAUUUGUCUUGUAGCUUACUCGCUUAUGUUAUUUUACCUACGCUUAGGAUGUUGACGCAUGAGAUAUACGC